rnacentral:rRNA from 1 species
GUCCACGCCCUAAACGAUGUCUACUAGUUGUCGGGUCUUAAUUGACUUGGUAACGCAGCUAACGCGUGAAGUAGACCGCCUGGGGAGUACGGUCGCAAGAUUAAAACUCAAAGGAAUUGACGGGGACCCGCACAAGCGGUGGAUGAUGUGGAUUAAUUCGAUGCAACGCGAAAAACCUUACCUACCCUUGACAUGGCUGGAAUUCUGCUGAGAGGCGGAAGUGCUCGAAAGAGAACAAGUACACAGGUGCUGCAUGGCUGUCGU